rnacentral:lncRNA from 1 species
UAGCAUCACCCAUGCACGAGGCUAAAGACAUUUCACCUAAGCUAGCUGUGGCGAUGGGCCAAGGAAGGAAGGUCUAGCCAACCGGUGACUGCUACCGAAAAGAACCCAUCGCUGCCAUGCAAGGAACUGGAAACAAUCCUGCCAUGCAAAGAAUUCGAUACAAAACGGCUGGAACCAGAUACAAGAUGGUUUAUCCGGAUAGUCUUCCUAAGCAAAUUCUGCAAAAACCUGGAUUCGGAUACAGCAAGAGUUUAUCCGAAUACCUGCCCGUCAUCUUCGAAAUACCUCCAUCCGGAUACGCUUUGUCUGGAUUGGAAUACAUGUGCUCGGCAUCUUCAGCUUCAACCUUCGUUUUCUUCAUCCGUUGUCGUCAUCCGCCUCCUUCUUCUUCAUCAUCCCCUCUCCACAACCA